AUGAAAUUGAUAGGUAGUUAUGACCACCUACAUAUUUCUUGAAACAUAAUAUUAUUCCAGACACGUCGAUAACAGACAAACAAAAUCGUGAUAUGAGACCUUCCUGUGAACCAUCGUCGCAUUGAGAUGAAAUGGUUUCAUUUUCAAACAUUUUGGUUUUCCAGACAUUCACUCAAGUCACGUGACAUACGGCACUUAACAGAAAACAAGAGUAUAUAUAAAAGAAGAGUAUAUUGUAUAUUAUAAAGUGCAACUUUUAACCUUAACCUGUUAAAUUUGCAAAUGCCUCUCAAACUAAAAGUGAGAAUAAGUGAACAGUGCAAUUAUAAUGCAUACAUUCAAACCUUACUAUCAAGAUGUUAAUAGCUGGUCUCAAAAUUUGCAGUGUUCUUUCAAACACAAAGUCUCUAUCAUAUACUAAUUGCACUAUUGCACCUAUUCUCCCCUUGUAGAACCAAAGUGUUCUACACAUAGUUGCCCAUACCUAUAGUUAAACUACAUAUAGUACACUGUCAAAAAGCAAUUCAAGCAAAAUUCUAAAUUGUAAUUUCUUCUUUAAUGAAGCCACCUUUUAGGUAGUCACGUGAAAAGACAUCAAACUUAUGCUUUGUAAUACAUGCUCAAAAUUCAAUCCGCAGUAGCCAGGAGAUAAACAAUAUGAUGCUUUGGUGUACCUUCAUAAUUGAUUUAAAAUACAUAUGUAAAAUAUUAAUUCGCAAAGGUAAACUAAAAACAUACCUAUUUAAGAUUC